rnacentral:rRNA from 1 species
CCUACGGGAGGCAGCAAUGGGGAAUAUUGCACAAUGGGGGAAACCCUGAUGCAGCGACGCCGCGUGAGUGAAGAAGUACUUCGGUAUGUAAAGCCCUAUCAGCAGGGAAGAAAAUGACGGUACCUGAUCAAGAAGCCCCGGCUAACUACGUGCCAGCAGCCGCGGUUAUACGUAGGGGGCCAGCGUUAUCCGGAUUUACUGGGGGUAAAGGGGGCGUAGACGGGAGAACAAGUCUGGAGGGAAAUGCCGGGGCUUAACCCCCGAACUGCUUUGGAAACUGUGCAGCUAGAGUGCAGGAGAGGUAAGUGGAAUGCGUGGUGUAGCGGUGAAAUGCGUAGAUAUUAGGCAGAACACCGGUUGCGAAGGCAGCUUACUGGACUGUAACUGACGUUGAGGCACGAAAGCGUGGGGAGCGAACAGGAUUAGAUACCCUAGUAGUC